UUUGAUCGAACCCACGAUCUCCUGUAUACCAGGCGAGGUAGUUAACAUCUCCUCGCCACCGUAGCACCCCUAAUGCGACUGUCAUCAGUGUAACGUUCUUACCCCGUGGCCCUACUGGAUCAUCUGUGAAAAAGAGCUUCAUAGCCCAUCGAAUUCCUCCAUUAUAAGUAAAUACAUAAAUUCUGAUUCUGAGAUUCUGAUUUAUCCGCAGGAACGGUGUUCACUGACAGCGCGGGGGUUGGGGAUGGCUCGGAGUCCGGAGUGCAGCGCCAAGGAAGAACACCACGUGAAUUUAUGGUCGUCACCCCAGAAAAAAUGAACGCCAUAGCAGGCAGUACGAUUUUCCUGCCCUGCUCCUACACCUGUACAAUCAGCGGCGUUAACCACACACUGGCGGAGUGGUUCAGGAUCAUUGAUGGACGUGAAGAAAGGCUUUAUCAAUACCCCAAUGGAGAUAUACAAUGGCCUUUACAGGCCACCUGGGUGGGUGAUGUGUCAAAGUGCGAUGCCUCCAUCACCGUCAGUGACAUCCAGACCCACGACUCUGGGCGAUAUCGCUGUGAGGUCACGGUGUAUCCACAAUACAUGGAAGACAUUGGGUAUCUACAGCUGAAUGUUAACAGUCCAUCAGGUUUGUGUUAUUUCCUUUAAACGUCGUCUACAUUACCACCCCCAACUCUAUCAUCUAUCCUAUAGACCUGAUAUAGAACUCAACAUGUACACUUUAGAGCCAUGGGCCCAGUGCCACGGUGAACUGGGUUCAACCCCUGGCUACGAUCUCAUCACCAUCAAUGUACAUCAGAACCUUUGACUGCUCCUCACCGACAUUU